CCGCGCUGUGAUGAGCCCGUCCGGCUGUCGAGUGUCGCCACCAUGAGAGCCGCCUGCAUGCACUACCAGCUGAGCGCGG
rnacentral:snoRNA from 1 species